CUACUCCGUCGGAAGUGAUCCUUUCUUCUCCAACGCAAAGUUACCUGGAAAAUCGUCUCAGUUCAGAUGUUGAUCGUCUGAUUUACGGGUACUACUAAAGCUUUUAUAACAACGUAGCACACUAGCACAGGAUUGAGGAUACGGCCAUACAGGCGUAUGGAUGCAACGUAGCGCGGGUAUCUGGUCUGGCUUUUUUGAGAGUUUCUCGCUCCAUAGGUUGCUUCUGCAACUGGCCAACGUGGACUAUGAUAGAUGCUGAUCAGCUGAUGAGUACCUUCAGGAGUUGUUAAACUUUGGUAGAGCUGAUGAGUGAUGAGUACCUUCAGGAGUUGUUAAACUUUGGUAGGGCCCACUUUAAUGAUUUUCCGAAUGCCAUUUUUCUAUCACAUCAUCUUGGUCCUGCGGUCUCAGUUUAGCUCAAUUCCGUCGUCUCGGUUAAAUCGUCAACUUGACACGGAAGGUUGUAUUU